UACGGAAGGCAGCAGUGGGGAAUAUUGCACAAUGGGCGAAAGCCUGAUGCAGCUAUGCCGCGUGUAUGAAGAAGGCCUUAGGGUUGUAAAGUACUUUCAUCGGGGAGGAAAAACAAAACUAAUAAUUUUAUUUCUUGACGUUACCCGAAAAAGAAGCACCGGCUAACUCCGUGCCAGCAGCCGCGGUAAUACGGAGGGUGCUAGCGUUAAUCAGAAUUACUGGGCGUAAAGAGCACGUAGGUGGUUUUUUUAAGUCAGAUGUGAAAUCCCUGGGCUUAACCUGGAACUGCAUUUUGAAACUGAAAUACUAGAGUAUCGUAGAGGGAGGUAGAAUUCUAGGUGUAGCGGUGAAAUGCGUAGAUAUCUGGAGGAAUACCUGUGGCGAAAGCGGCCUCCUAAACGAAUACUGACACUGAGGUGCGAAAAGCGUGGGGAGCAAAACGAGGAUUAGACUACC
rnacentral:rRNA from 1 species